rnacentral:rRNA from 1 species
AGAGUUUGAUCCUGGCUCAGAGUGAACGCUGGCGGCGUGCCUAAUACAUGCAAGUCGAACGAUGAAGCUUCUAGCUUGCUAGAAUGCUGAUUAGUGGCGCACGGGUGAGUAACGCAUAGGUUAUGUGCCUCUUAGUUUGGGAUAGCCAUUGGAAACGAUGAUUAAUACCAGAUACUCCCUACGGGGGAAAGAUUUAUCGCUAAGAGAUCAGCCUAUGUCCUAUCAGCUUGUUGGUAAGGUAAUGGCUUACCAAGGCUAUGACGGGUAUCCGGCCUGAGAGGGUGAACGGACACACUGGAACUGAGACACGGUCCAGACUCCUACGGGAGGCAGCAGUAGGGAAUAUUGCUCAAUGGGGGAAACCCUGAAGCAGCAACGCCGCGUGGAGGAUGAAGGUUUUAGGAUUGUAAACUCCUUUUGUUAGAGAAGAUAAUGACGGUAUCUAACGAAUAAGCACCGGCUAACUCCGUGCCAGCAGCCGCGGUAAUACGGAGGGUGCAAGCGUUACUCGGAAUCACUGGGCGUAAAGAGCGCGUAGGCGGGAUAGUCAGUCAGGUGUGAAAUCCUAUGGCUUAACCAUAGAACUGCAUUUGAAACUACUAUUCUAGAGUGUGGGAGAGGUAGGUGGAAUUCUUGGUGUAGGGGUAAAAUCCGUAGAGAUCAAGAGGAAUACUCAUUGCGAAGGCGACCUGCUGGAACAUUACUGACGCUGAUUGCGCGAAAGCGUGGGGAGCAAACAGGAUUAGAUACCCUGGUAGUCCACGCCCUAAACGAUGGAUGCUAGUUGUUGGAGGGCUUAGUCUUUCCAGUAAUGCAGCUAACGCAUUAAGCAUCCCGCCUGGGGAGUACGGUCGCAAGAUUAAAACUCAAAGGAAUAGACGGGGACCCGCACAAGCGGUGGAGCAUGUGGUUUAAUUCGAAGAUACACGAAGAACCUUACCUAGGCUUGACAUUGAGAGAAUCCGCUAGAAAUAGUGGAGUGUCUGGCUUGCCAGACCUUGAAAACAGGUGCUGCACGGCUGUCGUCAGCUCGUGUCGUGAGAUGUUGGGUUAAGUCCCGCAACGAGCGCAACCCCCUUUCUUAGUUGCUAACAGGUCAUGCUGAGAACUCUAAGGAUACUGCCUCCGUAAGGAGGAGGAAGGUGGGGACGACGUCAAGUCAUCAUGGCCCUUACGCCUAGGGCUACACACGUGCUACAAUGGGGUGCACAAAGAGAAGCAAUACUGCGAAGUGGAGCCAAUCUUCAAAACACCUCUCAGUUCGGAUUGUAGGCUGCAACUCGCCUGCAUGAAGCUGGAAUCGCUAGUAAUCGCAAAUCAGCCAUGUUGCGGUGAAUACGUUCCCGGGUCUUGUACUCACCGCCCGUCACACCAUGGGAGUUGUGUUUGCCUUAAGUCAGGAUGCUAAAUUGGCUACUGCCCACGGCACACACAGCGACUGGGGUGAAGUCGUAACAAGGUAACCGUAGGUGAACCUGCGGUUG